UUUCCGUAGGUGAACCUGCGGAAGGAUCAUUAUUGAAUGAAACACUUCUGGCUUUAUGCUGUUGUGCUGGCCCUUUGGGCAAUGUGCACACGGCUCUGGUCACUUGUUUCUUCUGUUCCACCUGUGCACUGCCUGUAGACACGCUGUGUCUAUGAUAUUUGUUAACACACAACAAUGUUAGUUGGCAUGUUAUAUAUAAUAAUAAAAUAUACAACUUUCAACAACGGAUCUCUUGGCUCUCGCAUCGAUGAAGACAGC
rnacentral:misc_RNA from 1 species